rnacentral:rRNA from 1 species
UACGGGGGGGGCAAGCGUUGUUCGGAAUUACUGGGCGUAAAGGGCUCGUAGGUGGCCCCAUAAGUCAGACGUGAAAUCCCUCGGCUCAACCGAGGAACUGCGUCUGAGACUGCGGGGCUUGAAUCCGGGAGAGGGAUGCGGAAUUCCAGGUGUAGCGGUGAAAUUCGUAGAUAUUCGGAAGAACACCAGUGGCGAAGGCGACAUACUGGUCCGUUACUGACGCUGAGGCUCGAAAGCGUGGGGAGCAAACAGG